CAGGCAUAUAUGAUAUUUUGGGAAAUGAAUGCUCUCUAUGAAAACAAAACAAUGAUUUCUAACUAAUGCAGCACUCAAUCACAUCACAGAAAUAACAAUGAUAAAUACAUUACGAACAUUUAUGAAUGUCAACUAUUUAAGAAGACAAUAUGUGAUCUGUAAACCAAUUAUACAUUAGGGCUGUUCACAGAUUUAUUAGGGGGAGGGGAUUUAUUUAUUUAUUUUAUUAAGAAUUAUUUAUUAUUACAUAUGGUUGCAUUUUUCUGAGAAAUUGCUAUACAAAAAUAUCUAUUUUACGGGUGGUCAGAGUUGUAUAAGAGUGACUCUCACCCCCCCAUGCGUUUAUUUCUGGAAACCUCUAAAUGUUAUUUUGAUGAAAACAAUACGUAAAAAAAAUCUAGUACAAGCUUUUAUACAAUUAAAAAAAUACCCCAAAUGAAUUUAAC
rnacentral:lncRNA from 1 species